rnacentral:rRNA from 1 species
UACGAAGGGGGCUAGCGUUGUUCGGAUUUACUGGGCGUAAAGCGCACGUAGGCGGAUCUUUAAGUCAGAGGUGAAAUCUCGGAGCUCAACUUCGGAACUGCCUUUGAUACUGGGGAUCUCGAGUUCGGGAGAGGUGAGUGGAACUGCGAGUGUAGAGGUGAAAUUCGUAGAUAUUCGCAAGAACACCAGUGGCGAAGGCGGCUCACUGGCCCGAUACUGACGCUGAGGUGCGAAAGCGUGGGGAGCAAACAGG